rnacentral:rRNA from 1 species
GACGAACGCUGGCGGCGUGCCUAAUACAUGCAAGUCGAGCGCAGGAAACUGACGGAACUCUUCGGAGGGAAGGCAGUGGAAUGAGCGGCGGACGGGUGAGUAACACGUAAGGAACCUGCCUCAAGGAUUGGGAUAACUCCGAGAAAUCGGAGCUAAUACCGGAUAGUUCAUCGGACCGCAUGGUCCGUUGAUGAAAGGCGCUUCGGCGUCACCUUGAGAUGGCCUUGCGGUGCAUUAGCUAGUUGGUGGGGUAACGGCCCACCAAGGCGACGAUGCAUAGCCGACCUGAGAGGGUGAUCGGCCACACUGGGACUGAGACACGGCCCAGACUCCUACGGGAGGCAGCAGUAGGGAAUCUUCCACAAUGGACGAAAGUCUGAUGGAGCAACGCCGCGUGAGUGAUGAAGGUUUUCGGAUCGUAAAACCCUGUUGUAAGGGAAGAACACGUACGAGAGGAAAUGCUCGUACCUUGACGGUACCUUACGAGAAAGCCACGGCUAACUACGUGCCAGCCGCCGCGGUAAAAC